rnacentral:rRNA from 1 species
GAUGAACGCUAGCGGCAGGCUUAACACAUGCAAGUCGAGGGGCAGCACGUCUUCGGAUGGUGGCGACCGGCGCACGGGUGCGUAACGCGUAUACAACCUACCUUAUAGAGGGGAAUAGCCCAGAGAAAUUUGGAUUAAUGCCCCAUAGUAUUAUUGAAUAGCACUAUUUGAUGAUUAAACAUUUAUGGCUAUAAGAUGGGUAUGCGUUCUAUUAGCUAGAUGGUAAGGUAACGGCUUACCAUGGCGACGAUAGAUAGGGGUCCUGAGAGGGAGAUCCCCCACACUGGUACUGAGACACGGACCAGACUCCUACGGGAGGCAGCAGUGAGGAAUAUUGGACAAUGGGCGAGAGCCUGAUCCAGCCAUGCCGCGUGCAGGAAGACGGCCCUAUGGGUUGUAAACUGCUUUUAUACGGGCAGAAACACUCCUUCGUGAAGGAGCUUGACGGUACCGUAAGAAUAAGGAUCGGCUAACUCCGUGCCAGCAGCCGG